rnacentral:rRNA from 1 species
AGGACGAACGCUGGCGGCGUGCUUAACACAUGCAAGUCGAGCGGAAAGGCCCUUCGGGUACUCGAGCGGCGAACGGGUGAGUAACACGUGGGCAACCUGCCCCUAGCUCUGGGAUAACUCCGGGAAACCGGUGCUAAUACCGGAUAUGACCUCAUUUGGCAUCCUUUGAGGUGGAAAGAUUUAUUGGCUAGGGAUGGGCCCGCGGCCUAUCAGCUUGUUGGUGGGGUAAUGGCCUACCAAGGCGACGACGGGUAGCCGGCCUGAGAGGGCGACCGGCCACACUGGGACUGAGACACGGCCCAGACUCCUACGGGAGGCAGCAGUGGGGAAUAUUGCGCAAUGGGCGAAAGCCUGACGCAGCGACGCCGCGUGAGGGAUGACGGCCUUGGUUGUAAACCUCUUUCAGCAGGGACGAAGCGAAAGUGACGGUACCUGCAGAAGGAGCGCCGGCCAACUACGCGCCAGCAGCCGC